AAAGCGAAAAGAAGAGAUGGAUGGUAGGAUUAAGAAAUUACGAGAAAAAUUAAAACAAACAAAACAUCAACUGGAUGAGUGUGUCAAACGAGAAAAUGAUAAAGAAGUAGAGUUGGAAGUUGCCCAUAAUAAGAUUGAAUCAAUGAAUCGUGAACGACAUUAGACAACUUGAAAAUUGAAUACAAUCAGAACAAUAUUGAACGGGCCCGUUCAUUACAGGAUUUCAUUUCACAAUUAACAGAACUUCAGGAGCAAUUUCAAACAUUAGCGCAAGCUCAACAUGAGACAAAAUUACUUUGCAA